rnacentral:lncRNA from 1 species
AUAAAGCCCAUAAGCAAAUUAUUUGUAAUAACUAUUUAUAAUAAUAAUAUAAUUAUUAUUAUAUAUUUUAUUAGGUAAUAUUCAUAAAGUUUAACUUAUGUAAUUUAAAUGAGAAAUUUUUAAUAUAAAAUGAUUUAUAAUCAUAAUGUAAUUAAGACUUUUUAAAAGAAAUUUUUAGAGCUAAAUAAAAUAAAAGCAAACUAUAACGGAUUAGAUUGAUUUAAAAUUAAUUAUCAAUGUUUAGAUUCGAAUUUUAAGUAACUAUUGAGGUAUUGAAAAUUAGGGAAAACUGAGGUUUAACAUGUAAAAACGCGUUACUGGUAUUUUGUAAUUAAUUAGAACGACCAGGGCAUUUUCUUCAUUUGUCUACUAAAAUAGGAUUACUA